rnacentral:rRNA from 1 species
GACGAACGCUGGCGGCGUGCUUAACACAUGCAAGUCGAACGGAAAGGCCCUGCUUUUGUGGGGUGCUCGAGUGGCGAACGGGUGAGUAACACGUGAGUAACCUGCCCUUGACUUUGGGAUAACUUCAGGAAACUGGGGCUAAUACCGGAUAGGAGCUCCUGCUGCAUGGUGGGGGUUGGAAAGUUUCGGCGGUUGGGGAUGGACUCGCGGCUUAUCAGAUUGUUGGUGGGGUAGUGGCUUACCAAGGCUUUGACGGGUAGCCGGCCUGAGAGGGUGACCGGCAAAAUUGGGAAUGAGAUACGGACCAGACUGCUACGGGAGGCAGCAGUGGGGAAUAUUGCACAAUGGGCGGAAGCCUGAUGCAGAAACGCCGCGUGCGGGAUGACGGCCUUCGGGUUGUAAACCGAUUUCGCCUGUGACGAAGAGUGAGUGACGGUAAUGGGUAAAGAAGCACCGGCUAACUACGUG